rnacentral:rRNA from 1 species
GCUAAAUAGUGUUUACUUCUCUUUUGAGUAAACAUUUCUUCUUAGAGGGACUGGCAACUCUUAGUUGCACGAGAUUGAGCAAUAACAGGUCUGUGAUGCCCUUAGAUGUUCUGGGCCGCACACGCGCUACACUGAAUAGAUCAGCGUGUCACCCUUCCCGAAAGGGACGGGUAAACCGCUGAACCCUAUUCGUGGUAGGGAUUGGGGCUUGCAAUUAUUCCCCAUGAACCAGGAAUUCCCAGUAGGCGCAAGUCAUCAGCUUGCGUCGAUUACGUCCCUGCCCUUUGUACACACCGCCCGUCGCUACUACCGAUUGAACGUUUUAGUGAGGUCCUCGGACUGUGAUCCUGGCGGGCAACUGCCUGGUUUGCGGAAAGACGACCAAACUGUAGCGUUUAGAGGAAGUAAAAGUCGUAACAAGGUAUC